rnacentral:tRNA from 1 species
GCCCGGGUGGCGGAAGUGGCAGACGCGCCAGACUAAGGAUCUGGUCCCAGCAAUGGGGUAGGAGUUCAAGUCUCCUCCCGGGCA